GCUGAUGAUACCACCACCAAGAAAUCAUCACCAUUAAUAUUUUGGCUUUUUUGUUUUCAGAUUUUUUCCAUUAUGAAAUUGUUGAUAUUUGAUCCUUUUGACCUAUAAAAAUGUUAAUAUCAUAUAGCUUACUCAAACAUAUCCAAAUAAUGUCAUAUAUAUUAUUUUAUGUACCAAAAAGCAUACUAAACAGAUUGUUUUAUAGCUUAUUUUUCUCAUUUUUAACAUUAUAAUUUAAGCAUUUGUUCAUAAUAUUAAAACUUUUUGAAAACAUUAUUAUGAAUGACUAUUUCAAUAUGUGGAUGUACCACAACUUACCUAAUGAUUGACCUACUGGUAAUCAUUGAGUUGGACUGGUUGGACAUGAGUUGUUUCUAAUUUGUCGCUAUUACAAAUAAUGCUCUGAUAAAUAUGUAUAAUUAAUUUGUGUUUCAGAUUAUUUUUAUUUCUAGAAAUGAGAUUCUUGGUUAUAGGCUAAAUAUAUUUUCUUGGUUUUUUUUUUUUGUUCAUUUGUUUGUUUGAGAUGGAGUCUCUCUGUCACCUAGACUGGAAUGCAGUGGCAUGAUCUUGGUUCACUGAAACCUCUGCCUUUCUGGUUCAAGCAAUUCUCAUGUUUCAGCCUCCCAAGCAACGUGUUGGACCUUCCUGAGCUUCUCAGAAGACAGAGGAUUUUCUUUUGAGGUAAAUUUGAUAGUGCAUUUUGAUAGUACAGGAGGCGAUACGGCAUGGUGACAGAAAAGCGCCAGCUUGGUUAGCAGGACCACCUGGCAGGGCUGCAGGCUGUGCCACUUACCAGGCAGGGGACUUUGGGCCAGCUGCUUGGCCUCACUCACCCUGUUUCCUCAGCUGCAAUUGGGAUGAAUAGACUGCCUGCUUCGGGGUUGCCUAAAACUCACAUUGGUUAAUGAUGUGAAAUGCUUAGCGCAGUGCCUGGCAUAGAGAGAAUUCUCAUUAGAUGAUACCUCAGCUGGGCUUUAGGAGCUACAGAAGAAGCUGCAUCUCCAUGAGCUCAGCAUGUUUCUAGCUUUCCUUUUUGUUUUCUAUUCAACCUUUCACCCAACUCAGCUUCUCAAUCCCUAAAUGACAAAGGUUUGGGAAGGAAGACUUGGAACGAGGCUUGCAUUUGUUUCUGAGAAUUAAAUGUUAUGUUUUCUUCAAUCUAAAUAGGUUUGCUUGUACAGCCUUGUUCAAUGUUUUUUUUUUUCUUUUUCUCCAUGAUAAAUGACUCUCAACUUCUUUUCCCUCAUUUAAUUGCUUAUCUACAUACAAUGCCUGGAAGGAAAUAAAUGUAAUGGCCCAUAGCAAUUGGCCUUCAGGUAUCAAGUUUAAGUCCCUUUAAGCAGAACAGCAAAUUGAGCACAGAAUGAACUGGUUUCAUGGUAGCGUACUGCAAUUAGAUGCAAGAAUAGGGAAAGCAGGGUGCUUUAAGUGGUGACACAAUUAGUAUAGCACUGGGGGACUUCUCUUUCCACUUCUUCAACUCCGCCUGCAUUCCGCUGGCUGAAGAGUUGAUGACAUCCCUGAAAAAUCUUCCCUCUCUUGUUUCUCUGAUGCCACCUCUGUGUUCUCCGCCUCACUGGCCACACUUCCUUUACCUCCCAAACUUUUAACUCUGAGUGUCCCAAACUUGUCUCAUCACCUACCCCUGCUGCCCAGCUCCCCAGCCUGUUCCCCUUCUGACACGGGCACUCUCCUUCUGCUCUCUUGGGAGAGAAACAAUGAAGACCUAUUUGGCACUUUUAUUUCUAUUCAAGGAACCAGACUGUGAACAAGUUUACCAUUUAGUCCUUUGGACUGUGUCUUGAAUUCAUCCCUCUUCUCCAUUCUCACCAGCACCAUCAUCAUGAUGGCUAAUAUUUCCUGAGCACCUUUCAUCCAGGCAUGAUGCCAGGUGCACCAACUUACUUAAUCCUCACAGCCACCACCUGAGCAAGCUCCUAUUUUAUAAAUGGACCAGUUCUUGUUGCUAUUGUACAAGUUAUUUUCUUUCUAUAACGUCCUCCUUGUCCUCCUUCCACAUUCUUAAAGAAACUUUCCCUUCCUUUAAAGUACUCAGGGAGCCUUGCAUUGCUUCUUGAAGCCUUCUCCAGCUUCAUCAUCUCACAGUGGUCUCUCUUUUCACUAAAUGUCCAAUAUGCUGCACAUAAGUACCCCAAAGUUAGCACAGAAUUGUUCCAUGGCUGUCAUAUAUGUUAAAAAUCAUUAAAAGUUCAUUUUUUCUCCCA
rnacentral:antisense_RNA from 1 species